rnacentral:rRNA from 1 species
AUUGAACGCUGGCGGCAGGCCUAACACAUGCAAGUCGAGCGGAGCGGCGGACGGGUGCGUGAUGCCUAGGACUCUGCCUGGUAGUGGUGGCUAACGUCCGGAACCGGACGCUAAUACCUCAUCCUAUCAGCUUAGCCUAGGUGGGAUUAGCUAGUUGGUGGGGUAAAGGCCUACCAAGGCGACGAUCCGUACCUGGUCUGAGAGGAUGAUCAGUCACACUGGAACUGAGACACGGUCCAGACUCCUACGGGAGGCAGCAGUGGGGAAUAUUGGACAAUGGGCGAAAGCCUGAUCCAGCCAUGCCGCGUGUGUGAAGAAGGUCUUCGGAUUGUAAAGCACUUUAAGUUGGGAGGCGUUACCAACAGAAUAAGCACCGGCUAACUCCGUGCCAGCAGCCGCGGUAAUAC